UCAUGUUGUUUAUGUUGAAUUGUGUUGAUUAUGUGAGAUGGUAUUGACUAUGUUGAUUUUAAUUUUUGUGACCUAAAAUGUGGAGUUUUCCGAAAUGGGUUUCAUCCCAAAUUAUUUUGCUAAAUACUUGUGGGCUUGCUUAGUUAUUAAAAUCAAGAGAAUGAUUUAAUGGAGUUUCUUUAUGUAGAUAGGAAAUGUUUGGUUUUUGGGUGAAAACCCUAGACAUUCAGGGAUUUUUGGAAAAAUGUGGAGGAUGUCCAUACAAUUCUUUUCUAUCUUGAAAUCAAAGUGAUUGAUUAUAAGUUCCAUACUGUGUUUGCAAGAAUGGUAAUCUUCUAUUUAUAGAUAUAUAUUGAGAUGGAGGAAAUUGUAGUAUAAAUGGAUGCUUAAUGGUGGGCUUGUGAAGAAUAAUGAAGGAAAGAAAAAAGAACUAAUGACUAAGUUAUAUAUGUGUACAGGGCACACUUCAGGAGGGACAAGCACUCCGUUGUAGCACUGUAAUCACUUUGGGAGUCCGUCUUAACCCUUGAAGCUCACCCUUCAGUUGUCAACCUCAGUAUGCCCAGGCUCCCAGACCAAGUCUAUGCAUUUAUGUCAAGUUUUGUUAAGAUUUUGGCUUGCACUUUAAUUAUUUACCUAAGGUUAAAAUGUAUGUAUAUGAUCCCUUUCUAUACCAAUGUUUGUUCAUGCGGUCAUGUAUGUGUAU